rnacentral:rRNA from 1 species
UGGCUCAGAUUGAACGCUGGCGGCAGGCCUAACACAUGCAAGUCGAGCGGAAACGAGUUAUCUGAACCUUCGGGGAACGAUAACGGCGUCGAGCGGCGGACGGGUGAGUAAUGCCUGGGAAAUUGCCCUGAUGUGGGGGAUAACCAUUGGAAACGAUGGCUAAUACCGCAUAAUAGCUUCGGCUCAAAGAGGGGGACCUUCGGGCCUCUCGCGUCAGGAUAUGCCCAGGUGGGAUUAGCUAGUUGGUGAGGUAAUGGCUCACCAAGGCGACGAUCCCUAGCUGGUCUGAGAGGAUGAUCAGCCACACUGGAACUGAGACACGGUCCAGACUCCUACGGGAGGCAGCAGUGGGGAAUAUUGCACAAUGGGCGCAAGCCUGAUGCAGCCAUGCCGCGUGUAUGAAGAAGGCCUUCGGGUUGUAAAGUACUUUCAGCAGUGAGGAAGGUGGUAGUGUUAAUAGCACUAUCAUUUGACGUUAGCUGCAGAAGAAGCACCGGCUAACUCCGUGCCAGCAGCCGCGGUAAUACGGAGGGUGCGAGCGUUAAUCGGAAUUACUGGGCGUAAAGCGCAUGCAGGUGGUUUGUUAAGUCAGAUGUGAAAGCCCGGGGCUCAACCUCGGAAUUGCAUUUGAAACUGGCAGACUAGAGUACUGUAGAGGGGGGUAGAAUUUCAGGUGUAGCGGUGAAAUGCGUAGAGAUCUGAAGGAAUACCGGUGGCGAAGGCGGCCCCCUGGACAGAUACUGACACUCAGAUGC